CCUACGGGAGGCAGCAGUGGGGGAUAUUGCACAAUGGGGGGAACCCUGAUGCAGCGACGCCGCGUGGGUGAAGGAGCGUUUCGGCGCGUAAAGCCCUAUCGGCAGGGAAGAAGGAGGACGGUACCUGACUCAGAAGCCCCGGCUAACUACGUGCCAGCAGCCGCGGUAAUACGUAGGUGGCAAGCGUUAUACGGAUUUACUGGGUGUAAAGGGGGUGCUGACUGCAGCGCAAGCCAGGAGUGAAAGCCCGGGGCCCAACCCCGGGACUGCUCUGGAAACUGCGCGGCUGGAGGGCAGGAGGGGCAGGCGGAAUUCGUGGUGUAGCGGGGAAAUGCGUAGAUAUCAGGAGGAACACCGGUGGCGAAGGCAGCCUGCUGGACUGCGACUGACGUUGAGGCCCGAAAGCGUGGGGAGCAAACAGGAUUAGAUACCCUAGUAGUC
rnacentral:rRNA from 1 species